AAACGUAGGAGGCAAGCGUUAUCCGGAUUUACUGGGCGUAAAGCGCGUGUAGGCGGUACGGCAAGUUGGAUGUGAAAGCUCCUGGCUUAACUGGGAGAGGUCGUUCAAAACUGUCGAACUAGAGUAUGAGAGAGGGAGGUGGAAUUCCGGGUGUAGUGGUGAAAUGCGUAGAUAUCCGGAGGAACACCAGUGGCGAAAGCGGCCUCCCGGCUCAAAACUGACGCUCAGACGCGAAAGCUAGGGUAGC
rnacentral:rRNA from 1 species